GACGAACGCUGGCGGCGUGCUUAACACAUGCAAGUCGAACGGAAAGGCCCUGCUUUUGUGGGGUGCUCGAGUGGCGAACGGGUGAGUAACACGUGAGUAACCUGCCCUUGACUUUGGGAUGACUUCAGGAAACUGGGGCUAAUAUCGGAUAGGAUCUCCUGCUGCAUGGUGGGGGUUGGAAAGUUUCGGCGUUUGGGGAUAGACUAGCCGCUUAUCAGCUUGUUGGUGGGGUAGGGGCUUACCCAGGCUUUGACGGGUAGCCGGCCUGAGAGGGUGACCGGCCACAUUGGGACUGCGAUACGGCCCAGACUCCUACGGGAGGCAGCGGGGGGGAAUAUUGCACAAUGGGCGGAAGCCGGAGGCAGCAACGCCGCGUGCGGGAUGACGGCCUUCGGGUUGUAAACCGCUUUCGCCUGUAACGAAGCGUGAGUGACGGUAAUGGGUAAAGAAGCACCGGCUAACUACGUG
rnacentral:rRNA from 1 species